rnacentral:sRNA from 1 species
UAUCGAUUGAUGUUGAAUAAUAGUCGGA